rnacentral:rRNA from 1 species
CCUACGGGGGACUGCAGUGAGGAAUAUUGGUCAAUGGACGAGAGUCUGAACCAGCCAAGUAGCGUGAAGGAUGACUGCCCUAUGGGUUGUAAACUUCUUUUAUAUGGGAAUAAACUGUUCCACGUGUGGGAUUUUGUAUGUACCAUAUGAAUAAGGAUCGGCUAACUCCGUGCCAGCAGCCGCGGUAAUACGGAGGAUCCGAUCGUUUUCCGGAUUUAUUGGGUUUAAAGGGAGCGUAGGUGGAUUGUUAAGUCAGUUGUGAAAGUUUGCGGCUCAACCGUAAAAUUGCAGUUGAAACUGGCAGUCUGGAGUGCAGUAGAGGUGGGCGGAAUUCGUGGUGUAGCGGUGAAAUGCUUAGAUAUCACGAAGAACUCCGAUUGCGAAGGCAGCUCACUGGACUGCAACUGACACUGAGGCUCGAAAGUGUGGGUAUCAAACAGGAUUAGAUACCCCUGUAGUC